CAAUAGCGUAUAUUAAAGUUGUUGCAGUUAAAAAGCUCGUAGUUGGAUUUCUGAUCGAGACAUCAGGUCGGGUCCGAGAGGAUCAUGUACUUUGAUUUUGUUUUGAUCAUCCUUGGGGAGAGCAUUUCUGGCAUUCAGUUGUCGGGAUCGGGAUCCUCAUCGUUUACUGUGAAAAAAUUAGAGUGUUCAAAGCAGGCCUCGGCCUCUGAAUACAUUAGCAUGGAAUAAUAAGAUAGGACUUUGGUGGUCUAUUUUGUUGGUUUGCACGCCAAAGUAAUGAUUAAUAGGGAUAGUUGGGGGUAUUCGUAUUCAAUUGUCAGAGGUGAAAUUCUUGGAUUUAUGGAAGACGAACUACUGCGAAAGCAUUUACCAAGGAUGUUUUCAUUAA
rnacentral:rRNA from 1 species